rnacentral:rRNA from 1 species
CAAAGCUCGAACUCACGAACGAGCGCAUUUAUUAGAGCAAAACCAAUCAGGUUUCGGCCUGUCUUUUGGUGAAUCUGAAUAACUCUGCAGAUCGCACGGUCUCGAACCGGCGACGCAUCUUUCAAAUGUCUGCCUUAUCAACUUUCGAUGGUAGUUUAUACGCCUACCAUGGUUGUAACGGGUAACGGAGAAUAAGGGUUCGACUCCGGAGAGGGAGCCUGAGAAACGGCUACCACAUCCAAGGAAGGCAGCAGGCACGCAAAUUACCCACUCCCGGCACGGGGAGGUAGUGACGAAAAAUAACAAGUCAGUUCUCUAUGAGGUCUGGCAUUGGAAUGGGUACAAUUUAAAUCCUUUAACGAGGAUCUAUUGGAGGGCAAGUCUGGUGCCAGCAGCCGCGGUAAUUCCAGCUCCAAUAGCGUAUAUUAAAGUUGUUGCGGUUAAAAAGCUCGUAGUUGGAUCUGCGGUCAAGGGAAGUGGUCCUCCGACGGAUGGUUACUGCUUUUCCUGACCUAACUUCUUCGGUUUUCCCUUGAUGCUCUUUACCGAGUGUUUUGGGUGACCGAAACGUUUACUUUGAAAAAAUUAGAGUGCUCAAAGCAGUCGUACAGACUGAAUAGUGGUGCAUGGAAUAAUAAAAGAGGAUCUCGGUUCUAUUUUGUUGGUAUUGGAUUGAGAUAAUGAUCGACGGGGAUAGACGGGGGCAUUCGUAUUGCGACGUUAGAGGUGAAAUUCUUGGAUCGUCGCCAGACGAACAACUGCGAAGGCAUUUGCCAAGAAUAUGCUCUUCAAUCAAGAACGAAAGCGAGAGGCGCGAACGCGAUCAGAUACCGCGGUAGUUCUCGCCGUAAACGAUGCCAACUAGCGAUCCGCCGGAGUUAAAUGAUGACUCGGCGGGCAGCUUCCGGGAAACCAAAGUUUUUGGGUUCCGGGGGAAGUAUGGUUGCAAAGCUGAAACUUAAAGGAAUUGACGGAAGGGCACCACCAGGAGUGGAGCCUGCGGCUUAAUUUGACCCAACACGGGGAAACUCACCCGGCCCGGACACCGUAAGGAUUGACAGAUUGAGAGCUCUUUCUUGAUUCGGUGGGUGGUGGUGCAUGGCCGCUCUUAGUUGGUGGAGCGAUUUGUCUGGUUAAUUCCGAUAACGAACGAGACCCUAGCCUGCUAAAUAGACAGUGAAUCGUUAGUUCAUUGUACUUCUUAGAGGGACAAGCGGCAUCUAGCUGCACGAGAUUGAGCAAUAACAGGUCUGUGAUGCCCUUAGAUGUUCGGGGCUGCACGCGCGCUACACUGAAGGAAUCAACAUGCAUUCCAACCUUACCCGAAAGGGUUUGGUAACCCGUUGAAAC